UACGUAGGGUGCAAGCGUUAAUCGGAAUUACUGGGCGUAAAGCGUGCGCAGGCGGUUUUGUAAGACGGAUGUGAAAUCCCCGGGCUUAACCUGGGAACUGCAUUCGUGACUGCAAGGCUAGAGUAUGGCAGAGGGAGGUGGAAUUCCACGUGUAGCAGUGAAAUGCGUAGAGAUGUGGAGGAACACCGAUGGCGAAGGCAGCCUCCUGGGCCAGUACUGACGCUCAUGCACGAAAGCGUGGGGAGCAAACAGG
rnacentral:rRNA from 1 species